rnacentral:rRNA from 1 species
GACAGAGGAGCCAAGCGUUGUCCGGAUUGACUGGGCGUAAAGCGCACGCAGGCGGUCGCGCGCGUGGGGUGUGAAAUCUGGCCGCUUAACGGCCAGGCGCCAUCCCAUACGGCGCGACUGGAGUGAUGCAGAGGUCGAUGGAAUUCCAGGUGUAGCGGUGAAAUGCGUAGAUAUCAGGAGGAACACCGGUGGCGAAGGCGGAUCUCUGGGCCAUUACUGACGCUGAGGAGCGAAAGCGUGGGGAGCGAACAGG